rnacentral:rRNA from 1 species
AGAGUUUGAUCCUGGCUCAGGAUGAACGCUAGCUAUAGGCUUAACACAUGCAAGUCGAGGGGAAACGGCAUUAUGUGCUUGCACAUUUUGGACGUCGACCGGCGCACGGGUGAGUAUCGCGUAUCCAACCUUCCCUCCACUCGGGGAUACCCCGUUGAAAGACGGCCUAAUACCCGAUGUUGUCCACAUAUGGCAUCUGACGUGGACCAAAGAUUCAUCGGUGGAGGAUGGGGAUGCGUCUGAUUAGCUUGUUGGUGCGGGUAACGGCCCACCAAGGCUACGAUCAGUAGGGGUUCUGAGAGGAAGGUCCCCCACAUUGGAACUGAGACACGGUCCAAACUCCUACGGGAGGCAGCAGUGAGGAAUAUUGGUCAAUGGGCGUGAGCCUGAACCAGCCAAGUAGCGUGCAGGAUGACGGCCCUAUGGGUUGUAAACUGCUUUUAUGCGGGGAUAAAGUGGCCCACGUGUGGGCUUUUGCAGGUACCGCAUGAAUAAGGACCGGCUAAUUCCGUGCCAGCAGCCGCGGUAAUACGGAAGGUCCAGGCGUUAUCCGGAUUUAUUGGGUUUAAAGGGAGCGUAGGCUGGAGAUUAAGUGUGUUGUGAAAUGUAGACGCUCAACGUCUGAAUUGCAGCGCAUACUGGUUUCCUUGAGUACGCACAACGUUGGCGGAAUUCGUCGUGUAGCGGUGAAAUGCUUAGAUAUGACGAAGAACUCCGAUUGCGAAGGCAGCUGACGGGAGCGCAACUGACGCUUAAGCUCGAAGGUGCGGGUAUCAAACAGGAUUAGAUACCCUGGUAGUCCGCACGGUAAACGAUGGAUGCCCGCUGUUGGUACCUGGUAUCAGCGGCUAAGCGAAAGCAUUAAGCAUCCCACCUGGGGAGUACGCCGGCAACGGUGAAACUCAAAGGAAUUGACGGGGGCCCG